UCGAUAUCUGACUUUACUAACGUCAUACAUAAAGUAUACGUAAGAAAUCACAAUUAAGACUAUAUUUGAGAUUGAAUUGUCUCCCUUUUUCCAAAAAAAAAAAAAAAACCCAUAUCAAAAUGCAUUCAGCUAUAAUUUCGCCAUUAUCUUCAUAUUUUUCUUAAUCUAAUUAGGAUAUUUGAAUUAAGACAACAUUGUUGUACAUAGGGAAAGCGUUUAUUUUCAGUUAGGGAAUCAUGAAUGCAUUGGACAAUUAAAACAAUCUUGAUACUGUACGUGUAAGUCUUUUUGUUUAUAAGAAAAAAACCGAUCAAAAACCAGUUACAGCCCAAUGCCAUUAAUGGACUGUUUUAUGCUUUAUGGUCUGGUGUGGUCUUUUUGGAAUGUUUUCGUCUUUCAUUUAUUUUCAUACUUCGUCAUCCCGGGC
rnacentral:lncRNA from 1 species